rnacentral:misc_RNA from 1 species
AGGACUACACGGGUUUCUAAUCCCGUUCGCUCCCCUGGCUUUCGCGUCUCAGCGUCAGCCGACGUCCAGGAACUCGCUUUCGCCACGGGCGUUCCUUCCGAUCUCAACGCAUUUCACCGCUCCACCGGAAGUUCCAGUUCCCCCUACGUCGCUCCAGGCCGGUCGUAUCGGCGCCCCUUCCCCGGUUGAGCCGGGGGAUUUCAGCGACCGACGUUCCGCCCCGCCUACACGCGCUUUAAGCCCAGUGAUUCCGAAUAACGUUCGCACGGUUCGUCUUACCGCGGCGGCUGGCACC